rnacentral:lncRNA from 1 species
AGAUCCUGCCGGCUCUGGACUAGCCGCUCAGCACCAGGGCGGAAGGAAGACGAGGCGAGGCAAGCGCCAAGCUUCCAUCCGGACUUCAAGGCCAGUGGCUGGGUCUGGUUUUCUCAACACGGCCUCCUAGUCUCCUUCCCGCUUGGGCAUCUGUUUUUCUUAUAUAGACCCUGAAGCCGCCCGUGAUGUUCUGUAAGCAGGUUCCGCUUCAGAAUCAGAGGUACUUAAGAGGGAACCUGGAUGCUAGACCUGCCCUUGCUGCUGGCCUCAGUUUCUUUACCUGUAAAACAGGGAUUUUGGAACUGUUAAAUUAAAUCAAACUUAAAAGAAUUACAACUUAAAGCUGCUGGAACUUUACAUGAUCCCGAGCCUUGAGAGGAAUGUGGCUAUGCAGCCUGAGUCAUGUGGCAUGCAGAUGCAACCUCUGCCUUUUUCCGCUGUAAAUAAUUAAGAAGACCAAGUAGCAUCCAAGUCUCUUGUCCUUCUGCCUGCUGUUGUGGGAUGAUGUGUAGAGGAAGAUAGUCUUCCUCUACACAGCAAGAAGAUCCCUACCAGAUGCAGCCCUCUCAACCUUGGACUUCCUGACAUCCAGAACUAGUCACCUAAGCUGAAGAUUCCCUUGAGAACAAGUACUGUCCUGUGGUUUCAUGGCCUUUCUUCCAUUUGUGGUUCUUGCCAAGCGGAAUUUAAAUGACAUCUUAUCAAGAUGGAUAAACCCUAGUUUCCCAGUGCUGGAAUAUAGAAAAUGGAUGGACAAGUAAAUCCCACUCAGCACCCAUAGCCCAGGCAUGGGGACCUCAACACAUUUGAGCCGCAGAGAUCACCUUUCAUUGUGAAUAGCUCUGAGAUGAUACUUCUGGUUGAAUGUCUUUUUGUCACUUCCGGCUGGAUCUACCAUGAAAGAUUUCUGAAUCCAGGAAGAGAGAUUGACUGGGCAACAUGUUAUUCAGAAACAGGACCUUGCCCUGUCACUCAGGAUGGAGUUCAGUGGUCCAAUCAUGGCUCAUUGUAGCCUCAAACUCCCAGGCUCAAGCAAUCCUACCACGUCAGUCUUCCCAGUAGCUGACAGGGUCUCACUCUGUCGCCCAGGCUGGAGUGCAGUGGCAUGAUCUUGGCUCACUGUAGUGUAGACUUCCCAGCCUCAAGGGAUCCUCCCACCCCAGACUCCCAAGUAGCUGGAAUUACAGGUCUCAUGCUCUCACUCAGGCUGCAGUACAGUGGCACAACCUCUACUCACUGCAGCCUCUACCUGCCAGGCUCAAGCAAUUCUCCUGACUUAGCCUCCCGAGUAGCUGGGAUUACAGGGGUGCUACAAGUUGACCACUGCAGCAGUAAAGAUGAUUCUGAAGAAUGGCAUGGGAUGGAUCCUUUCGAAUGCACUUGAGCAGCGGUCUCCAACCACAGGGCCACAGAGCUGGAGAUGCCUUUUUGUCACUUCCAGCUGGAUCUACCAUGAAAGACUUCUGAAUCCAGGAAGAGAGACUGACUGGGCAACAUGUUAUUCAGGAGAUGGGGUCUCACCCUGUCGCCCAGGCUUGAGUACAGUAGUGCUAUCACAGCUCACUGCAGCCUUGAACUCCUGGGCUAAGGAUCCUCCUACCUGAGCCUCCUGAGUAGCUGGGACUGUAGGGUCUCCCUCUGUUGUCCAAGGCUGGAGUGUAGUAGUGCUAUCACAGCUGACUGCAGCCUCAACCUUCCAGGCUGAAGCGAUCCUCCCAUCUCAACCUCCCACGUGGCUGAGACUACAGGCGCUUGCCACUAUGCCCAACUAAUAUUUGGAAUUUUCCUAUACGUGGAUUCCAGAGGGGUGACAGCGAAACGUGGGACCAUCCAGUUGCAGGAAAACGAGCUUAACACGCCCACUGAUUCUACAUUAUGGUGAGUUCUAUAAUUAUUUUAUUAUAUAUUACAGUGUACUAAUGGAAAUAAAGUGCCUAAUAAAUGUAAUCUGCUUAAAUCUUUUGGCCCAGCUCCUACCUCCCGGCAGCCUCUCCAGGCCCAGAACUUUCUCCAGUCGGCCUCCACAGACCAAGCUCAUGACUCACAAUGGCCUAUUUAGGCCCAUACCCUACCUCACGGCAGUCUCCGCAGAUGAGGCUACUGCCUCACAACAGCCUCCACAGGCACAGCUCCAUCGUUACAAUGGCCUCUUUAGACCCAGCUCCUGCCUCCCAGCCUUCUCUCUAGGCCCUGAACUUUCUCAAGUCGACGUCACCAGGCCCAGCUCAUGCUUCUUGGCAGCCUCUCCAGGCCCAGCUCUUCCUCCCGGCGGCCUCUGCAGGCCCAAGUCGUCCUGAAGUCGGCCUCUCCCGGCCCUGCCUCCCAGCAAGUAAGCAAGCUUUUUUGGCUUAGCUCCUGCCCAGCUCCCAACCGCCUUUGUAGGCCCCGAACUUUCUCCAGCCAAGCUCUUCGGGCCCACCUCCUGCCUCCCGGUGGCCUGUACAGGCCCAGCUCUGGCUGGAGAACAGCCUCUGCAGGCCCCGCUCUUGCCUCCCAGGGGCCUCUCCAGGCCCAGCUCUCGCCCCCACAGCGGCCUCCCGGGGCCAAGUCCCUGCCUGCCUCCCGGCAUCCCGCAUGCAGCCCAGCUCCUCCCUCACGGUGGCCUGUUGAUGCCCAACUCAUGCCUCUGGCACCCUGCCCAGAGGCGUGAGCCCCUGCCUCACACCGGCUCCUCCCACGCUGACAGAGGUCAGCGUGAGCCCCUGCCUCAACAGGCCACCGUGAGGGAGGAGCAGGGCCGCACGCGGGCUGCCGGAAGGCGGACAGGGACUUGGCCCCGGGAGGCCGCGGUGGGGCAAGAGCUUGGCCUGGAGACGCCCCUGGGAGGCAACAGCAGGGCCUGCAGACGCUCUUCUCCAGCCAGAGCUGGGACUGUACAGGCCACUGGGAGGCAGGAUGUGGGCCUGAAGAGCUUGGCUGCAGAAACUUUGGGCUCUUCCUCCCGGCUGCGUCUCCAGGCCCAACUCCGGCCUCCCAACAAGGUCUUUGGACUCAGCUCCCCCGCAGCUUCCAGCGGCCCUGGUAGGCCCACAACUUCCUGAAGCCAAGCUCCCCAGGCCCAGCUCAGGCCUCACGGUGGCCUCUCCAGGCUCAGCUCCUGCCCUCCGACAGCGUCUCCAGGCCCCAAACGGCCUCCGGUCGGUGGGCUCCUCUAGGCCCAGCUUGGGCCUCCCGGCAGCCUCUGCAGGCCCAAAUCGUCCUGAAGUCGGCCUCUCCAGGCCCAGCUCCAGCCUCCCGGCGGCCUCUGCAGGCCUAAGUCGUCCUCAAGUCGGCCUGGAAAUGGGCCUGGAAGAGCUGCAAGUCGGCCUCCCCGGGCCCAGCUCCGUCCUCUCGGCGGCCUCUCCAGGUGCAAAACUUCCUCGAGUCAGCCUCUCCAGGCCCAGCUCCUCCUGCCUCAGUGGCCUCUUUCGGCCCAGCCCAGCUCAUGGCUCUCGGCGGUCUUCCCAGGCCCCGCUUUUGACUUUUGGUGGCCUCUUCAGGCCCAGAACUUGACCUCCAGUCGGCCUUUGCAGGCCCGGCCUCCUGCCUCUCGAAGGUCUGCAUGGGCCCGGCCUCGGCCUCACAGCGGACUCUCCACGCCCAGCUAGCUCUCGCCUCACUGCACCCUCCCCAGUCCAAAGCUCCUGCCUUUCGGCCACUUCGGCAGGCCCAGCUCCUGCCUGCCAGUGGCCUCUUUAGGCCCAGCUCAUUCCUCACAACGGCCUUUCCAGGCCCCGUUUUUCCCUUCCGGCAGCCUCUUGGCCUCUAAUUUUUUUAUCUUUUGUGUAUAAAUCCCAAAUUAUGGAAUUUUGGAAUAUUUCCACCAUUAUAUAAAUAUUUUGGUAGGUAAUUUAUUUGGAGUGAGUUUCUGCACCAAGCCCGAAUUUUUUAUUUUAUUUUCCUUAUUAUUUGGUGUUAAACAGGUUUAAUGACGGUCAUGGCAACUUUUUGGCACAAUGAAAAAUAUCGCCCAUGAUCAACGUGUUCUGUUCUGGGGAAGGGGGCAAAGGCAGGGUGAAUCACUUUCUUAAAAAGUACAGCUUAAGUUGGGAGUGCAGAGGGAAUGGGGAGAAAACCCUCCCACUGCCUGUGUCGAAGUGCAGGAGCCCCCACCCCCAUACUCACCUGAGUCCAGCCCCUCUGGGGAAAGAAGGGGUGCAUGAACUCCCCCUAUUCCACAGGCGCCUCCCUGUGGCCCAAGGCCCUCUUCACACUCCAUCUUGUAGCCCCAGCAGGAGCUAUUUUCCGAAAAGUGAAAAGCUCUGAAGGUCCCACACUUCAUGGUAUGUACAGGGGCUCAGAGGAGGGAAACUGCCAAGCUUUCCCCCUGCACAGCAGCAGGGGUAGGGGGUAUAUACAAGAGGAGCAGGCCUUGGCCAGGCGUGGUGGCUCAUGCCUGUAAUCCCAGCACUUUGGGAGGUGGAGGCAGGCGGAUCACGAUGUCAGGAGAUCGAAAUCAGCCUGGCCAAGAUGAUGAAGCCCCGUCUGUACUAAAAAUACAAAAAUUAGCUGGACAUGUUAGCGUGCACCUGUAAUCCCAGCUACCCAGAAGGCUGAGGCAGGAGAAUGGCGUGAACCCAGCAGGAAGAGGUUGCAGUGAGCCAAGAUCGCACCACUGCACUCCAGCCUGGGUGACAGAGCAAGACUCUGUCUCAAAAAAAAAAAAAAAAAAAAGAGAAGCAGGCUUUAUUCCGUCCCAAACUGAAAGGAUUAAAUGGCUUUACCCGGGAGAAGAUAACCAUCCUGCCCUCCAUUGCUACCCCCACAUAAUGUCCAUGUUCUCAGGGGGUACUGUGAGUCCUAGGAUCUUCUUUGGGGUGGCCCACCUGCCUGUGGUAGUUAUGGAGGGACCCAGGUGUUGAGGCAGGGCUGGGGUGCCCCUUCCAGCCAGGCUGUCGAGGCCCCAACUCUGGGGCAGAGGCAGUGGCAGGGCAGCCAGGGUUGCGCCAGAGCCUGAGCAGGGUGAGGUGGGGUCAGGCAGGGCUGGGAGUCAGGGCAGGGGCAGCAGCAGUGGACCCGCUAUGCACACAUCUUCUUCUUCAAGGUUUGUGUGCAGAACAUCCUGCCCAUACUGCCCCAGCAGCUUCAGUUGGCACCUGCCCCAGUCCAGCCUCUGGGACCCAGGCAGCGGCUCCCAGCAGCCCUGGACCCACCACCAGCAUCUGUUUCACCUGCAGUGGAAGAUCCAUGAGGUGCCCAGAAGAUCAUGCAGUCAUCAGUCCCACGGAGCAGCCCGCGAGGCUGAGGCUCCUCCCACUGGACUGCCCCCCAACUGGCACCACUGCUGCCCCUGCCCCUACUCUCAGCCUCAUGUGACUCUCGGGCAGAGGCAGUGGUAGGGCAGCUUCAGAGUCUGAGCCAGGUGAGGUGGGGUCAGGACCCCCGCAGGGGUGGGAAUCAGGGCAGGGGCAGAACAAACCUUGGAGAGGAAGAUGUGUGUAUAGUGGGCCUGGAGAGCGGCUGUGGCCUAGUGGACAGGAAGAAGCAGUGGGCCUGGAAGAGCUGCAUGAUCAGGGCCAGCACUGGUCCAGGGCGCGUGCAGUGAAGAGGACAGCGCCUUCUCGGUCUCCAGUUCCCUGAGCCCGUCCUCGGCUUCUUCACCUGUACAGGCAAAGGGGAAGCUGUCCCCAUCACACAUGGCACACUUGGGCUGCAGAUGGAGCAUCUUCUCAUCCUGCAUUUGGGCAUGGUGGGGUCCUCCAGUGCGGGAUCCAUGUCCGUGGGGUUCCCUCUGCCCCGACCCCCAAAGCCCAGUCAGUUUCUCCUCUUCAGGCUCUGCCCCCCGGGUGGCUCAGCCCAGCUCCUGCCUAGGAAAGCCUUAGUGUUGGGAGGGACUGCGAUGACUGAGGGGCCUGGUAGCUCCAGGUCGCCCACACUUUCAGGUCUCUUGCACCACAAGGUGGCAGGAUCCAUUGGGAGGAAACAGGUCGCCUUGGAAGGCGUCCCUGGGCCCCCAUCCCCAGGGGUAGGGGCCGUAGGGGGCCCGCUCUGCUGCCCUGACCAGACUCCUGGGCUUUGAAGGCUCCUGGGCCCAGUAAGAAGGAGGUGGGUGCCAAGGUUGAGGAGGAAGCAUCCGAGUAUGUGUAGGAGGAGGACGGGGUGGGACCAUAGACUUUGCCAAAAACUGCAGGUGGAUCGGGGGACCCGGGGGACUCAGGAUCCAGCAAGGGGCGGCAGGAGUAAAGGAAGAAGGAAUGACAGGUGCAAAUACCUUCCCACCAAAGCCCUUGUUGCCCUCUGGCUCCUCCCCAGAGCUGUCCCCACUCUCAGUCGGUCACCCACUCCUUGAACUUGAGAUCAGUGUCAGUGGUGCUAAAGCCGUCAUCAGCAAUGACAUCAUCACCCCCUCCUCCUCAUGGAUGACCAUGUGCUCCUCGUCACUCGCUAUGACCUCGCUGGCCAUGUGCUGGGAAUGAGCAGCUUAGGUGGGCAGCAGCAGGGCUGCCCACUGGUCACCUCCCUCACCAGGGGCUGCAAAGUGGCCUGGAGCUCCAUACUGAGUAGAAGGCUUUGGGCCAGAGUAUGAUGCAGUGCCAGACACCACCUGUGUCAGUUCCUGUAGUGCCCGAUGGUCUAUUUCCCUGCCAUCCAGGCUGUGUACCCCCCUGUGGGAGAAGGCUUGGGCCAGGCUGAGCCAGGUUCCCUGACUGUGUGCAGCCGUUCUGCCCCACAGAAGCUGCUCCUUGGUAUCCGAGCUCUGGAGUGUCUGGGCUGCAACUGACAGGAGUUCAGAGGACACCCCAGGGGCAGUGGCAGUGCCCGUCUGUGAUAUGCUCUGCUCCCACGAGCCCUUGUACACUCCUGCUAGCCCCUGGCUUGUGGGCUUGGCCUCUGAGCUGGACUUCUUUCGGUCCUUGUUGCAAGUGGGCCACCUUCACCUGGAAGGCCAGGUCGUGGUAUUGCUGAAGAUCAUGACCGCCACUCAUGGGCCACCGGAUGUGGUCCUUGUCCCAUUUGUUGGGGCUGCAUCCAUCCUUCUCAGAAGAUGAGUCCUGUUCCUUGUGCAGGGCACUGAGGGACUGGGCCUGACAUCAUCUGAGUGGUAGAGGCAACUGGGUGUCAGGAGACAUAACGGAGAGGAAAGCAUCAUCAUGGUCAUUCUCUGUCUCACUGUCCAGCAGGGACUUCCCUGAGGGGCCCAGGGCUCCUCCUUCAUGGUGGGAGGUGGGCUUUUACCAGGUUCCACUACCCCCAAAGUGUGUGGGGUUCCGGGCCCUGGGCUUUCAGGGCAGGUGGAUCCAGGGGGCUGCCGAAGGUCAGCACUCCCUGUCCCACCUGGUGGACACUCGUGAGCAACAGCUGCUGACUUGGCAGGUUCUUUGCUCUGGUUGGAGGCCACUGAGUGACUGGCAGGUUGCUAGGCCUCACGUGGCUGCAGGGAGGGGUCAGGAAGGGGACAGAGUACCAGGAGAACACAGCCACAGAGCAAGGUUCCACGUUCCUCCACACAAACAUGCUGACGCCACCGGAGGCCUCGCUGGACGCAGACAUCAGGGGCCUGUGGGCCAAGUACAUGGUCUGGGCAGGGGGUUCCUGGCAGGGGCUCACACCUCCUCAGCCCCCUCCUCAGCCAAGGCAGCUUGGACCCACGGAAGGGGGGAUGGGAGGGGAGCACGAGACCAGGCCUCAAGUUUUGUUUUUUGUUUUUUGUUUUUUUGUUUUUUUUUGGAGGUGCAGUUUGGCAGUCUGGAGUGCAGUGGUGCGAUCUCAGCUCACUGAAACCUCCACUUCCUGGGUUCAAGCAAUUCUCCGGCCUCAGCCUCCCAAGUAUAUGCACCUUUACUGCUGAAUAUUAUAUAUUUUCUUAUGCUUUCAUGUGAUUAAUUAGCAUUCUUUUUUUUUUCUUUUUGAGACAGAGUGUUGCUCUGUUGCCCAGGCUGGAGGGCAGUGGUGUGAUCUCGGCUCACUGCAACCUCCGCCUCAUGGUUUAAUUGAUUCUCCUGCCUCAGCCCCCUGAGUAGUUGGGAUUACAGGCACCCGCCACCAUACCUGGCUAAUUUUUUGUAUUUUUAGAAGGCAUGGGUUUUUGCCAUGUUGGCCUGGCUGGUCUUGACCUCCUGACCUCAAGUGAUCCACUCUCCUCGGCCUCCCAAAAUGCUGGGAUUACAGGCAUGAGCCACCACACCCAGCUGCUUUCUUUCAUUUUUACUUGAAAAACUCCGUUAAGCAUUUCUUUUAAAGUAGACCUAGUGCUCCUGAAUUACCUCAGCUUUGUUUGUCUAGGGAACAUGUUAUUUAUUCUUUCUUUCUGAAGGAUAGCUUUGUCAAAUAUAGUAUUAGUUGCUGGCAGUUUUUUUCUUUCAGCACUUUGAAUAUAUUCUUCAAUUCUCUCCUGACCUUCAAAGUUUCUUCUGAGAAAUCUGCUGAUAGUUUAAUGAAGAUUCUCUUGUUGGUGUCAUGCCACUUGUCUCUUGCCUCUUCAACAUUUUAAAAAAUCUUUGACUUUUGACUAUUUGAUUAUAUUGUGAUUAUAUAUAUUUGGUUUUAACCUCUUUAGGAAUCUUUAAGCUUCAUGCACUUGGAUGUCUAAAUCUUUCCCAUGAUUUAGGCAGUUUCAGCCAUCCUUUCUUUAAAUAAACUUCCUUCUCCUAUCUCUACUUUCCUUCUCAAACUCACAUGACAGUGGAUUGCCUAAUGGUGUCUCGAUGGCUUUCUUUUCUCUCUCUUUUUUUUCGAGAUGGAGUCUUGCUCUGUCACCCAGGCCAGGGUGCAAUGGCGUGGUCUUGGCUCACUGCAGCCUCCCACUUGGGCUCUGCAGCCCAGCCUGUCUUGUAACCACUGCCUCCUCAAAGCGACACCUGGCAGAUUCUUCUUCCCUUUGAGGGAGAAUCAUCGUUGUUGCUUCAUCUCUUCUAAGACAUUUUGUAGGGCAUGGACAAGUUAAACAGAAUGUGCUUUCCUCCCUGAGGUCUCGCUGUCCCACAGGCUCCUGGGAGAAUGCCACAGGGGCCAUGCACUGGUCGAGCUUCUCUGUAGAACCCAGGGGCUUCAGCCCAGAACACAGCAUCUAGCCCUAAGCCUAGAGCAGGGAGGGAGUCCCGAACUUCUGCAUUCACAGACCACCUCCAGAACUGUUAUAACCAAAGGCAUCCUGUUCUAUUAUUUCACUUAAAUCAACAUGUUAUUUUGUUUUCACUCACUCCUGGCUUUCUCCUUGUGCCGAGCCCAUGUAUCCAUGCAGUCAUGUUCACAGGCUAGUUAUGUUUUCCUUCUUACACAUGAAAAUAAAUGCAUAACUGGUAGAAGCUCUUCCGUGUUUCAUAUAAGCUCUCACACAGGUAAACCCUGGCCUUUGGUAGUAGCCCUGGAAAGAUGUUUGCUGGGCAUCUGCUCACUAUGGCGGGGGUGUCCAAAGAGUGCUGGGGCUCAGCUCAGCAGACAGAGGGGCUCGUUUCCUGCCUCAUGCCCAACACCAGAGACUGAUGCUGGCCAACUCACAGGUGUGCCUCUUCUGGACAAGGGCCACCACUGACGGGGUUGGCUGCAGGGGCCUCACUAGGGCAGCCAAAUGCUUCAAGAAUUAACACUCAGGCUGGGCGUGGUGGCCAAUGCCUGUAAUUCCAGCACUUUGGGAGGCCAAGGCGGGCGGAUCACCUGAGCUUGGGAGUUCAAGACCAGCCUCACCAACAUGGAGAAACCCCUUCUCUACUAAAAAUACAAAAUUAGCUGAGCAUGGUGGUGCAUGCCUAUAAUCCCAGCUGCUCAGGAGGCUGGGGCAGGAGAAUUACUUGAACCCAGGAGGUGGAGGUUGCAGUGAGCCUAGAUCAUACCAUUACACUCCAGCCUGAGCGACAGAGGGAAACUCCGUCUCGAAAAAAAAGAAUUAACACUCAGGCCAGAUGUGGUGGCCAAAGCCUGUAAUCCCAGCACUUUGAGAGGCUGAGGUGGGGGGGUCACUUGAGGCCAGGAGUUUCAGACCAUCCUGGCCAACAUGGCGAAACCCCGCCUCUGCUAAAAAUACAAAAAUUAGCUGGGCAUGGUGGCGCAUGCCUCUAGUCCCAGCUACUUGGGAGGUUGAGGCAGGAGAAUUCCUUGAAUCUGGGAGGCAGAGGUUGCAGUGAGCUGAGAUCACAUCACUGCACUCCAGCCUGGGUGACACAGUGACACCCUGUCUCAAAAAAAAAAAGAACACUCACUCCCAGGGCAUGCUCCCUACAUGUAACCAGGCUGCUCUCCCUCUGCAAGCUUGCACACUGACCCCUGGGCUCCCUUCGUGGGCACAGGCCAAGAGAAAGUUUGUGGCCUGAAAGAGCACUGGCUUGGGAACAGGCCACCCAGAUCUCAGACCUAUCUCUGUACUCAAUAGCGUGAACAAGUUAGUAACCCUCAGCCUUGAUGUUCUCAUCUGGAGCAAUUUUUUAAAAUUUUUUAUUGGC